CCUACGGGGCGCAGCAGUGAGGAAUAUUGGUCAAUGGACGAGAGUCUGAACCAGCCAAGUAGCGUGAAGGAUGACUGCCCUAUGGGUUGUAAACUUCUUUUAUAUGGGAAUAAAAUGUUCCACGUGUGGGUUUUUGUAUGUACCAUAUGAAUAAGGAUCGGCUAACUCCGUGCCAGCAGCCGCGGUAAUGCGGUGGAUCCGAGCGUUAUCCGGAUUUAUUGGGUUUAAAGGGAGCGUAGGUGGAUUGUUAAGUCAGUUGUGAAAGUUUGCGGCUCAACCGUAAAAUUGCAGUUGAAACUGGCAGUCUUGAGUACAGUAGAGGUGGGCGGAAUUCGUGGUGUAGCGGUGAAAUGCUUAGAUAUCACGAAGAACUCCGAUUGCGAAGGCAGCUCACUGGACUGCAACUGACACUGAGGCUCGAAAGUGUGGGUAUCAAACAGGAUUAGAUACCCGUGUAGUC
rnacentral:rRNA from 1 species